AACAAAGAUUCAGUUUUCUUAAAACCCCCAACAUUCUUUAUGGGAACAACAUAAAGGAAUGGAGGGAGUAUUUUAUAGCGAUUUCAUAUUCGUUGGAAAUUUGGAAUAAUUAUAUGUUAUUCGUGAAAUAUAUUAGGUAACCGCAUCAGUUUGCAAUAGCCACAGUACCCCCUCAUUAAUCGACACUAUAAGCUAAUUAAGGUACCCCGCCCUAAUUUUCACGAAUUUAACUCAAAUUUUUUAUCUCCCUCUUCUUCCGCAACCGUCCCCAAUUCUCUACUUCAACUGUUUCUUGACCUAGGGUUAGGAACAUCAAUUUCUUUUAGAUUUCUUUUGGCUAGCUUAUCCUUCUCCCAAUGGAGUCACAGCAACAGCAGCGAAUUGAAGGGUAUUAUUGUAUAUUGGUAUCAGUAAUUGGAACGAAAUGAAGAGCCGUGGAAUUACAGGUCCGAGAACUGGAGACACUACUAGGGAAUGCUGAGCUCCACGCUACUGAAUUUGGACUUCUAUAAUCCUAGUUAGUUUCUUUUGGGUUUGGUAUUUUCAUGAUUAGUGUAAUUGGUAGGUUGUGAUCUUGCUAUUGUGAGUUUGUCUUAUGAGUUAUGACUUUGCUUUGUUUUCUAGGAAAAGUGAGUUUAUUGUGAUUAUUUUUUGCAUUGGUUCUUAAUUUUGAGUUUGUUGUUUGGUGUGGAUUUUUAUGUAAUGUGAACUUUUUAUAUAUAAAGUGGCCUUUAAUUUUAUAUGUUGAAUGAGCCCAGAUGAUAUGCCUUCCUUAUCGUGUUUUUGCUGAUUAAAAAUGUUGGAGGAAUGAGCUGACACACCAUUAGGGAGUUCUGGUUACAUUCUCAAGUAAACACCCACGGAAAUAUGCCUUGCACAUAUAAUUAUGAAAUCUAUUGGUUUUGGUUCUCUCUACUCUUAGACUGAAAUGAAUUCAUACACAAUAUAUAGGUUUAUUUUCUGCACUUAUUUUCUUUUGCUGGUAAGUAAAUUUCAUCAGUACCAAUUAUUUUUAAAGAGUAAAGGUUGCUUAAAGACUCUUUUGUUAACAUCUAAUUCUGAAGACAUGUUAACACCUAUUAACACUGCAGCUAAACAAUUUGGUAAACUAAACAAGAAGUGCAUCAGCCCUUAACCAUGCCAACCCAAAUAUGAAAAUGAUGAUUAACCCACAGACAUUUCUUUUACUCACCCAACAAUUUACUAAACUGAGAAAAACAACAAGAACAGCUCAAAGUCCAUCCAACCUAGGUCUAUUGCUUGCACUCAACUCCUGGAACCCAGCUGUUGCUUUGAAUUUGCUGAUAUAAACCCAAUAAUCUGAACUGAACUGAUAUGUAACUCACAUUAGCUUUCCGAACUAAACUGAUCUAAUAUGUAGCUCCUUGUACUUUUUUUUUUUAACUUUAUGUUCUUUGUUUAAUUGAAUGGAUGAAUAAUUAAAUGAAUAAUUGAAUUAAUAAAUAAAAGGUGGAGGAUGGUGUUCCUAGAUUUUUUUUAAUCGCUUGCUGUUGAAUUGGUAUAGUGGUGGGCAAGACUACAUUUCUUGGCAUUCUGAUGACGAGUCUCUUUUAUGGAACUACACCUCUUAUUGCUUCCCUUUCUUUUGGUUGUGAUAGUCACUUUUACUUGAAGAAUAAACCCAACAAAUCAGUGUCUUCAGAUACCAGCAACACCUUGCACUGCCACUUGCUGAUUGCUUUUCUUAAUACCAUAACCCAUAAACUAACUAAACAAAUAAAAAAAUUUCUUCUAGCAUUUAAGAAGAUUUUGAGUGAUGAAUCUUCGAGCAAGCGGUUGAAGAAAAACAACAUUGAUGAGUAGGAACAUUCCUUUUUAUUAAAACGUGGAUCCAUCUUGGUAAUGAGAGGCUACACCUGAGGAAUUAGAACUAUUUUUUGUCAUAACGCUGUAAGAAAUAUACCCUUGCCUUGCUGUACUCUGAUAUGCAUACUCAUUGCUAUGAAGGUGUGCCUACGAGCAGCCUCCACACUGCUAUGAAGGUGUGCACACAGUACGACCAACCAGACCCCUCUUGUCCUCGUUUAUAUAGGCUAUACUUCGCAGCUUUGCAUAGAUCUGUAAACAAUGAUGUAAUUGCAUCCCAAUUUACGCAAAUCGUUUGGCUUGCUCUUUGUAUGAUAACUCUUUAUUUGGAAAACGGUAAAGUCGGACUUAUUUGGGGAAGCACAUGACGUUAUCGAGUUAUACUAUAUUAGUUGUUUCGUUGUUGCAUUGUAGUAGUUAAUUAGUUAUUUAUCUUGUCAUCUGCAGAUUAUUAGAUAACAUUUUGUUAAGUUUUUAAGACUAUUAGACAAUUAUAUAUCACCUAUGUAAUGACUUAUGACUUACUUUGUAUGAGUUAUUUAUUUAUAAUAUUAUUUUUAUCAUAUAA